UACGAAGGGGGGCUAGCGUUGCUCGGAAUCACUGGGCGUAAAGCGCACGUAGGCGGCUUACUAAGUCAGGGGUGAAAAUCCUGGAGCUCAACUCCAGAACUGCCUUUUGAUACUGGUGAGCUUGAGUCCGGAAGAGGUGAGUGGAACUGCGAGUGUAGAGGUGAAAAUUCGUAGAUAUUCGCAAGAACACCAGUGGCGAAGGCGGCUCACUGGUCCGGUACUGACGCUGAGGUGCGAAAGCGUGGGGAGCAAACAGG
rnacentral:rRNA from 1 species